UGGGGAAUAUUGCACAAUGGGCGCAAGCCUGAUGCAGCGACGCCGCGUGGGGGAUGACGGCCUUCGGGUUGUAAACUCCUUUCGCUAGGGACGAAGCUUUUUGUGACGGUACCUAGAUAAGAAGCACCGGCUAACUACGUGCCAGCAGCCGCGGUAAUACGUAGGGUGCGAGCGUUGUCCGGAAUUACUGGGCGUAAAGGGCUCGUAGGUGGUUUGUCGCGUCGUCUGUGAAAUUCCGGGGCUUAACUCCGGGCGUGCAGGCGAUACGGGCAUACUUGAGUACUGUAGGGGUAACUGGAAUUCCUGGUGUAGCGGUGAAAUGCGCAGAUAUCAGGAGGAACACCGAUGGCGAAGGCAGGUUACUGGGCAGUUACUGACGCUGAGGAGCGGAAGCAUGGGUAGCGAACAGG
rnacentral:rRNA from 1 species